AAAGCUUUAAGUUAAACAAACUAUAAACCUUCAAAGUUUAAAAUAUAUCAUAUUAGAUAUAAGCUUUA
rnacentral:tRNA from 1 species